CUCGGAGAUAGCUGGUUCUCCCCGAAAGCUAUUUAGGUAGCGCCUCGGACGAAUACUACUGGGGGUAGAGCACUGUUAAGCUAGGGGGUCAUCCCGACUUACCAACCCUUUGCAAACUCCGAAUACCAGUAAGUACUAUCCGGGAGACACACGGCGGGUGCUAACGUCCGUCGUGGAGAGGGAAACAACCCAGACCGCCAGCUAAGGUCCCAAAGUAUUGCUAAGUGGGAAACGAUGUGGGAAGGCUCAGACAGCUAGGAUGUUGGCUUAGAAGCAGCCAUCAUUUAAAGAAAGCGUAAUAGCUCACUAGUCGAGUCGGCCUGCGCGGAAGAUGUAACGGGGCUAAGCAAUACACCGAAGCUGCGGCAAUGUCUUUUAGACAUUGGGUAGGGGAGCGUUCUGUAAGCCGUUGAAGGUGAAUCGUAAGGUUUGCUGGAGGUAUCAGAAGUGCGAAUGCUGACAUGAGUAACGACAAAGGGGGUGAAAAACCUCCUCGCCGGAAGACCAAGGGUUCCUGUCCAACGUUAAUCGGGGCAGGGUGAGUCGACCCCUAAGGUGAGGCCGAAAGGCGUAAUCGAUGGGAAACGGGUUAAUAUUCCCGUACUUCUGACUAUUGCGAUGGGGGGACGGAGAAGGCUAGGUGGGCCAGGCGACGGUUGUCCUGGUUCAAGUGCGUAGGCUUGAGAGUUAGGUAAAUCCGGCUCUCUCUAAGGCUGAGACACGACGUCGAGCUGCUACGGCAGUGAAGUCAUUGAUGCCAUGCUUCCAGGAAAAGCCUCUAAGCUUCAGAUAGUCAGGAAUCGUACCCCAAACCGACACAGGUGGUCGGGUAGAGAAUACCAAGGCGCUUGAGAGAACUCGGGUGAAGGAACUAGGCAAAAUGGUACCGUAACUUCGGGAGAAGGUACGCUCUUGAUGGUGAAGUCCCUCGCGGAUGGAGCUGACGAGAGUCGC
rnacentral:rRNA from 1 species